GAUGAACGCUGGCGGCGUGCCUAAUACAUGCAAGUCGAGCGAACGGACGAGAAGCUUGCUUCUCUGAUGUUAGCGGCGGACGGGUGAGUAACACGUGGAUAACCUACCUAUAAGACUGGGAUAACUUCGGGAAACCGGAGCUAAUACCGGAUAAUAUUUUGAACCGCAUGGUUCAAAAGUGAAAGACGGUCUUGCUGUCACUUAUAGAUGGAUCCGCGCUGCAUUAGCUAGUUGGUAAGGUAACGGCUUACCAAGGCAACGAUGCAUAGCCGACCUGAUAGGGUGAUCGGCCACACUAGAACUGAGACGCGGUCCAGACUCCUACGGGAGGCAGCAGUAGGGAAUCUUCCGCAAUGGGCGAAAGCCUGACGGAGCAACGCCGCGUGAGUGAUGAAGGUCUUCGGAUCGUAAAACUCUGUUAUUAGGGAAGAACAUAUGUGUAAGUAACUGUGCACAUCUUGACGGUACCUAAUCAGAAAGCCACGGCUAACUACGUG
rnacentral:rRNA from 1 species